UACAGAGGCCACAAGCGUUAGACGGAAUCACUGGCUUAAGCGUGUGUAGCGGAUGUAGUACUGUGAAUCCACAGCUACUGUGAAUGCUUGUAUACUGCGUCUUGAGUCACUAGGCAGCUGACAGAUGUGAGCGUGAAUGCAUAGAUAUCAUCUGACGCAUGUGCAGACAGCUGCUGGUGUACUGACGCUAGCACGAAGCAGGAGCAAGCGAUAGACGAGUAGUCAGCACGAGUACUCUGCUACGU
rnacentral:rRNA from 1 species